rnacentral:rRNA from 1 species
AGCGAACGCUGGCGGCAGGCCUAACACAUGCAAGUCGAACGGAUCCUUCGGGAUUAGUGGCGGACGGGUGAGUAACACGUGGGAACGUGCCCUUUGGUUCGGAACAACUCAGGGAAACUUGAGCUAAUACCGGAUGUGCCCUUCGGGGGAAAGAUUUAUCGCCAUUGGAGCGGCCCGCGUAGGAUUAGCUAGUUGGUGGGGUAAUGGCCCACCAAGGCUCCGAUCCUUAGCUGGUCUGAGAGGAUGAUCAGCCACACUGGGACUGAGACACGGCCCAGACUCCUACAGGAGGCAGCAGUGGGGAAUCUUGCGCAAUGGGCGAAAGCCUGACGCAGCCAUGCCGCGUGAAUGAUGAAGGUCUUAGGAUUGUAAAAUUCUUUCACCGGGGACGAUAAUGACGGUACCCGGAGAAGAAGCCCCGGCUAACUUCGUGCCAGCAGCCGCUGUAAUAC